rnacentral:rRNA from 1 species
UGAGUAACACGUGAGCAACCUACCCUCAACUUUGGGAUAAGCCUCGGAAACGGGGUCUAAUACCGGAUAAUACUGACCGUCUCAUGGUGGUUGGUUGAAAGUUCUGGCGGUUGGGGAUGGGCUCGCGGCCUAUCAGCUUGUUGGUGGGGUAAUGGCCUACCAAGGCGUCGACGGGUAGCCGGCCUGAGAGGGCGACCGGCCACACUGGGACUGAGACACGGCCCAGACUCCUACGGGAGGCAGCAGUGGGGAAUAUUGCGCAAUGGACGAAAGUCUGACGCAGCAACGCCGCGUGAGGGAUGACGGCCUUCGGGUUGAAACCUCUUUCACAGGGACGAAGCGAGAGUGACGGUACCUGCAAAAAAGGACCGGCCAACUACGUGCCACAGCCGCGGUAAUACGUAGGGUCCGAGCGUUGUCCGGAAUUAUUGGGCGUAAAGGGCUCGUAGGCGGUUCGUCCCGUCGGGAGUGAAAACUCGGGGCUUAACCCCGAGCCUGCUUCCGAUACGGGCAGACUAUAGGUAGGCAGGGGAGAGCGGAACUCCUGGUGUAGCGGUGGAAUGCGCAGAUAUCAGGAAGAACACCGGUGGCGAAGGCGGCUCUCUGGGCCUUACCUGACGCUGAAGAGCGAAAGCGUGGGUAGCGAACAGGAUUAAUACCCUGGUAGUCCACGCCGUAACGUUGGGCGCUAGGUGUGGGGACAUUCCACGUCCUCCGUGCGCAGCUAACGCAUU